rnacentral:tRNA from 1 species
GCACGAGUUAGUCAAGUGGUCAAAGCCUCGGCACGUGCACCGGCUUGCGCGUACGGAGGAAUGCGGCCGCAUAACCAACUACGUAAGCAUCGUUGGUUCGAAUCCAACGCUCGUGCU